rnacentral:rRNA from 1 species
CAAUAGCGUAUAUUAAAGUUGUUGCAGUUAAAAAGCUCGUAGUUGAAUUUCGGGUCCCCGCGCUCGGCGCUUCAUUGUGCCGUCGUGGUGUCCCUCCUCGUCGUAAGGCGUCCUUUACUGUGAAAAAAUUAGAGUGUUCAAAGCAGGCAAUCGCUUGAAUACAUUAGCAUGGAAUAAUAAGAUAGGAUCUUGUCUAUUUUGUUGGUUGCGGACAACGAUAAUGAUUAAUAGGGAUAGUUGGGGGUGUCCGUAUUGAGCUGUCAGAGGUGAAAUUCUUGGAUUUGCUCAAGACGAACUACUGCGAAAGCAUUCACCAAGGAUGUUUUCAUUAA